CCUCGCAUCACAACCAUCCUCUUUCUUCGCUCUUCUUUCUCGCUCUUUUUUCUCGCUCUUCACAUCACAACCGUCGACGGUAUUCAACCACACUUCCUCUGAUUUGAAGGAGGUUCGCUCUUCAUCUUUCCAUCUUAAAAGUUGACGAAUUAUCAAAUUUCCGGCAUCAAAUUUCCGGCAUCAAAUUCAAGGUAAGAGAAAACAAUUGCACAAUUUAAACAAUUUCGACGAGACUCAAAAACUCGGAUCUCCCACAAAUUUGAAGAUCUGGUUUUUUCUUGAUUUUUUCGUCGCGUUUUUGUCCUAAUUAUUUCGUAACAAUAAGGUUUUGGUGGUUGCUGUGGAAAUUCAGGUAUGGAGGUUUGCUUGGAUCUUUGCAAUCAUAAUGCUUAUCCUUCUUUCGAGAUUUCUAGUAGAAAAGAAACUGUUUUAGAUCUUGCCAAGUUUGUUGACAAGGGCGUCCAAGUUAAGCUUACGGGUGGACGACAAGGAAAAAAAGAUCAAGUUGUCUACACACGGGUACACUGGCUUUGAUACUUAUAGAGGCAGCCACAGGAGGGAAGAAGAUAUAUUGUGAUUGUGAUUAAGAUCAAGUUCAGUUCAUUGAGGAACCCUAUCCUAGCUAAAAGAUCAAUUCACUUUGAUUAGUAGAGUGACUAAUCUAUGUGGUUAUGAUCAUGAAAACUGGAGGAAUUUGCUUAUUUCGAGUGAAGACCAUAGAGAAUGAUGAUUUUGUUUCCUUGAGCUGGUUCGUGAGGGAUGCAUUGGCUAAGGCCAAGAUACUUAUAGAUGCUCUUUAUAAUGA